GUGAAAUACAGUAUAUGCUGCAUGUGGCCAUGUAAAUGAAUGUAUCAACUACUGCAACAUCCUGUUGGUGCUCCAGCCUUCCCACCUGAGCCAAGGAACUCGCAAUACACCGCUAUGGUGAUUUUGUCCCUGUUGCUCAAAGCACAGCCAUAAGAUGCCCAGGGAAAGGCAAGUUGCUUGAACCAUGGGGUGGAAGUGUUUUGUGGAAACAGCACCCAGCAGGAGGGCUGGGGCAGCUGCCAGCAGCCCUGAGAGGGGUUCACUCAGCUGUGUGGCCUGACCCAGGUAAUGAAGCACUUUGGAGACGAGGAGUAUGCGCUCUGCAAGACAAGAGAAAGAGCUGUGUUCCAGUGGCCUGCCACGCCAGGAGUUGCACAGCUUUUGGACACAUGCUGGCUUAGUGAAGCCUGCCAGGGAGAUGGGCUGUGCAAAGCCUUCUGAUGGCCUGGUGGAGGAUAACAGCUACAGGAGAGGAGCAGGAGGACAGCCUACCAGGUUUUGCUCAGGCCAGAAGGAUGAGGCUCUGUGUUUGUCAUUAGGACUGGGUACACACAGUUCUGUGGAUUUUGUACUUUUACAGCUGCUCUGUGAUAAUAUUGCAGUUUGCUACCGCUGUUUUGCUGUGCAAAUGGUUGUAAAGCAAGAAGGUUAUGGGAGGACGCUUGUGUGAAGCUCUGUUGAACGCCGGCUGCAGUGGCUUCUCGUGCCUGGACAGAAAGCUGAGUUGCUGCAUCUGGCCUCAGCCAGGCCCAGAGCCCCCGGAGCCCACAGGGGCCUUCGUUGCUCAAAUGGGAUUGUGAACAAGGCCUGGAGUGCCAGAGGAGUGACUGCACUGAGGAGGCUGACAGGUUUUCAGGUUUCCUUCUCUGACCUGCUGCUGUGUCCUGUGACUGUAACAACAGAUAGAAAGGUCUCAAACCAUUUCAUGGGGCUGGAGGGGGCAGUCUGGCCAAGAAAAACAUACAUUUCUUCCCACAGCAGAAACCGCCAGCCUCUGAGAUGGGCUCUUCUGGCUCACUCUGGUGCUGUUCUUCAAGGCAAGUGUUACAUCUGCUCUGUGCCACCAGCAUGUUUGCAGGGAGCUGGGGCAGCUGUGGCCUCUGGGAAGAGAGGGCACCCAUCCUCAGCGUGCAGCAGAGAGCAGUACAACAGUAUGUGAGUCAGAACCUACAAGUCCAUCAUACCAGGCACACUGCAAACUGCCCUAAGUGUCUCAUAGUAGAUUUUGUUCAGAUCAAGCUCAGAUAAUUCAGUCAUAAGGAGUCUUCCAUGCCCACCGUUCUAGGAUUUUCUGGCAUUUGACCCUCUUUAGUUAGUUUAUUUGAAAGGAAAAUACUGCUUAAAAACUAAAAACUGGAAACUUUUGACAAUCCCAGCAAUUUUCUCACUUUUUGACAAACUGCUCAAAUUGACUAAAUUCUCAAAUAUUUCUGUUGUCCUAAACAAUAUAUAUAUACACAUAUUUAUAUAUAUUUUUUCUGGAAGAUGAGCUAUAAAAAUCAUUUGCUAUUCUACUUUUCAAAAUAUUUCGCAUUUGUAUAAAUUCAGUUAAUAACUACACAGCAUUAAGGGAUAUGAUGUACUGCUCCCCAUUGAAAAUGGACACAGGUUAUCAUGUAACCCAGUUCAGAUCUUGUGCAUAUUGUAUGGCUGAGCACAGUGCUAUAGCAAGGAAAAUGAGUUUCUAUCCUGUUUACUGUUUGUGGCAUGGGACCAAGUUGUUUCUCUGAACUGAAGAACACUCCAGCAAACACUGUUUCUCAGUUUCAGAAUUUGACUAAACCCUAAUUCUGUUGCCAUCAAGAUUUAAACAAAUGGUGUAGAGAUACCUAAGGGAGCAAGUGAUUUUAUGUCUGCUAUAAGACAGUAUUAAAGAGUCAAAAUAGUCCAUUAGAAGCAGAUGUACCUGUACCUCCUUCUGGCCAGCUAUGAGUUCCACCUUUGAAGAACUAUUUCUGUUGUUUUUGAACCAAAGAAAGGAAUAAAACUAUUUCAAAAGGCCAUAAAGCCUGCUAAGAUGAAUGUGAGGGGCCCAGUAGAAUCAUUUUCCAGUUCAAUGUAGGUUUAUUAAAACUAUUUGGAGCAAGUAAAGCAGUUCAAGAGAGAGUGAUCCAGCAAAGUGUGGUGGGGCCUGAGAGUGGAAGCGUUUUUGUCUCAUCACUGAUCUCUAGCACCUUUCUUUUCUGGUCUCAUAUCUUGAUUUGUCUAAUUUGUAUAUUUAGACUGGGAACUCCAUAGCUGAAACUAUUCUGUCCUACAUAAGCAACAUGUGUAUUCAGUUUCGGGGGUAAUAAGAACAGGACUAUUUCUAUGGAAUACGUAUGUACAAGGGGAGACCUACUGAUUUUGAAAGCUUCUGGUGAAAAAUGCUUGUGUGAGCACAAAAGUUCAAAGCGAGGCUAUUAUUAUUCCAUUUCCAUAUGAAUGAUCUAAACAAUUUGUGUCUGGGUUUAAUAUGCAGCUACUAAAACCAGAGUUCGUAUUAUGGCCAGAUGGAAUAGGCAAAGGAUGUGAUAGCCACUGUGAAAUCUGGCUGCUUCUUGGUGAACCUCACUGGGUUAGGUCUCUCCUUCCACUUCUGAGCUACUUCUAUAGGAGGCUGAGGAAGAUGUGGUGGGGGCUUCCCCUGUGCCCAUCUGCAUAGUCAGUGCCAGUAACAAUGCUGUUACACAUUCUUGUCUCAGGUACCCAGAUACACUUGUAGCUUCAAUUUGAACUAAAAAGAGGUGAACGAUAAGCCAACAUUCCUCCUCACCUGUCCUGCAGAAAAGCCCUGGGAUACAGCUUAGCCUGAAGCUUUCACUAGCACAACCCAAAACCUCCUGAGUAGAGUUCGAAGAACAAAAGCCUCCUUGUGCACAGCUGAUACUCUUCCACCUGUCCUGCCCCAUGGAGCCAGAACAAGGCAAUAGAAGUCUCAAGAAAGACUUUCUUACCAUCAGCUGUUCAAAACAUCUGUAACCUAGCAGUGUACUUUCUUUAUUAUUGUUCUUUAUUUCAGAAAGUGCAUUUUUUUCACAUUUUUCAUACUGCUGUCCAUACAAUAAUUUGGAAACUAGAGCAGGUAGAACAGCUUUUUAAACAAAACCUCUCAUUUUGUCAAGAAUGCAGCUUUAUACAAAUAAAGUAGAUUAAGA
ensembl:lncRNA